GCCUGGGUGGCUCAGUCAGUUGAGCAUCCGACUUUGGCUCAGGUCAUGAUCUCACAGUUUGUGGGUUCGAGCCCCGCAUCAGGCU
rnacentral:tRNA from 1 species